UUUGAAGGAGCUUUCUGAAACGUUACUGCUUGACUGAGAAAUCAGCUGCAUGUGGUGGGUUUUUGUUCACCUUCUCUCCAGCUGUAUCCAGUAAUCCCAGCUCCAUGGACUUGCUUGUACCUUUUGAGCUAAAUGCUGUAGCUAUGCUGCUAGUCCCUUGAAGUCCUAGCUGUGCUACAAGGGCAGCCCUGGGGUAUCUGCUCAUGGUUGUUCUAGCCCCAUUCUUGUGCAGGGCUGCUUUGAGCGAGGAUGGGCAACGUGGAGCUCCAGGGGCCUUUCUCCCAGAUUCCUCUUUUUCGUGCUUGGGCGAGCCGUGUGCCUGGGGACCCCAGCCAUGGAUGGUCCCAGAAACCUGAAGAAGGUGAUGGGAGCCUUGUCCUUUCAGCUAUUUCACCACUACCAUGAUCAUAUUCACAGCAUCACUUUGGACGUUUUGGGGCUGCAGCUGCACUUCCCACUUCUCUUAUAAACGUGUUGACCAAAGAAUUACAAGCCCUAUUCAACAUGACCUUUGCAGUUCCCGUCCUCCCUGUGCACACUUCCCACUAGACUUAUAUAUUCUUUUCUCCGGCUGUGUGGGUUAUUUUUUUCUUUCCUUUGAAAAAAAGAGGUGAUGGGGGGAGGGUCUGAAGAUAGCCUGGUGUUUAGUGGGGUCUCCGGGGGCACUGAGUGGCUCCAGCCUUAUCCAUAUGUUGGUAACUCCUGUAGUACAGCCAAUGAGAAGCGCCCCAGGGCCUUCAUUGCUGAGCAGCUUCCUGAAUACCUGGCUCAUGAAGUGCCGAAAUAAUCAUAACGAAUCAUUUAAUAUGUCAGAACACGGCAAUUACUCUCCACUUGAAUAAAAACUUGUCAUAAUUCUCCCUUCAAGGCAGCCGCCUUGGCCCCGAGGUCUGGGUGCUGAAGUUUGCUCGGUGUGCUGUUGUUUAUUUCUUUUUCCACACUGCUAUGAAUGGGUGGAAGUAAAAUAAAAUAAAAUAAAAAAAAACUUACUUAUAAGUUUUCAUAUGAAAAAAAUGAAGGAAAAAAAAGACUUUGGAAGCCAUGUCCGGACUCUGGAAAGGAGGGUGUAGAGAAGGGGGGAUGAAGGCCUGCCCUGCCAGGAUUUAGUGCAGGCCAACCCGCUGCUCCAUUACUGCCACUAGCAGCAUGACCCAUUUUCUACGUAACAAACCUGUGUGCAUGGCCCAAGAGAGACCGUGUGAGAAAGAAAGUUUUUUAAGCAUUGCUCUUUCAAACUGCUAAGGGUAGGGUUUGUCCACGAACAGUGGUGCUGUCUGCACCUGAGCGCCUCAGCUGGAGAGGGAUGAUGGCAUCUUUUUUUUCAAGAAGCUUUGAAAAUCCUUAGUGAACACGAGGGCAUCUUGACAUGGGUGAGUGCACCGAGCACUGUUAAACCAUAGCAUCGCUCAUGGUUUCAAAGUAAAGGUCAGAGGGUGAAAGGAAAGCACAUGCUUUUGGUUUUGAAAUGGCUGUCCAGAAUAGGGCCAGGUCUGUUGGUAGGGCGAUGGAAAUGUCUGUCUGUGGCGUGGGGCUGUUGAGCUGCUCUGUUUGCGCAGGCAUUAGACUUCAUGAGAGAGGAAACGAUCUAAAAAUGUUUCUCUCCCCCUACUGAAGGGGAUGUGUUCACAGGCUG
ensembl:lncRNA